AAUACAAGUGAAACUGCGAAUGGCUCAUUAAAUAAGUUAUAAUUUAUUUGAUCUUAUCUUACCAGUGGAUAUCCGUGGUAAUUCUAGAGCUAAUACAUAUACGCGAAGAGCCGACUUCUGGAAGGCUUGUAUUUAUUAGAUAAAAAACCAAUGUGGGAAACCACUUCUUUGGUGAUUCAUAGUAACUUUACUGACCUCUAUUUGAGGCGUAUCAUAAAAAUUUCUUCCCUAUCAACUUUUGAUGGUAAGGUAGUGGCUUACCAUGGUUUUUACGGGUGACGGGGAAUAAGGGUUCGAUUCCGGAGAGGGAGCCUGAGAAACGGCUACCACAUCCAAGGAAGGCAGCAGGCGCGCAAAUUACCCAAUCCUGAUACAGGGAGGUAGUGACAAUAAAUAACGAUCUAGGGCCCUUUGGGUCAUAGAAUUGGAAUGAGUACAAAUUAAAACUAUUAACGAGGAACAAUUGGAGGGCAAGUCUGGUGCCAGCAGCCGCGGUAAUUCCAGCUCCAAUAGCGUAUAUUAAAGUUGUUGCAGUUAAAACGCCCGUAGUCGAACUUUUAGGAUCAUGAGAGGUUGAUGGCAGGUUUUUGCAUUCAUUUGUAGAGAUUUGUCUUGAUCUUUUGGGGUUCUAAUACGUUAUAUCUCUAGUCUUUGGGCUUAGAUGUUGCCUUUACUGGUAGUGUCUAGGUCAUUUCUCUUCGGAGAGGGCUAGGGAUGAUUACUUUGAAAAAAUUAGAGUGUUCAAAGCAGGCUUUAGUCUGAAUACAUUAGCAUGGAAUAAUAAAAUAAGACUUUGGUUUUAUUUUGUUGGUUUCUAAAACUAAAGGAAUGAUGAAUAGGGUUGGUUGGGGUCAUUAGUAUUUUAUUGCUAGAGGUGAAAUUCUUGGAUUUGUGAAAGACUAACUUCUGCGAAAGCAUUUGACAAGGACAAUCUCAUUGAUCAAGGACGAAAGUUGGGGGAUCGAAGAUGAUUAGAUACCGUCGUAGUCUCAACCAUAAACUAUGCCAACUAGGGAUCAGGGCUCUAUUUAAUUGAGAGUCUUGGCACCUUGUGAGAAAUCAAAGUUU
rnacentral:rRNA from 1 species